rnacentral:rRNA from 1 species
UACGAAGGGGGCUAGCGUUGCUCGGAAUUACUGGGCGUAAAGCGCACGUAGGCGGCUUUGUAAGUCGGGGGUGAAAUCCUGGAGCUCAACUCCAGAACUGCCUUUGAUACUGAAGAUCUUGAGUUCGGGAGAGGUGAGUGGAACUGCGAGUGUAGAGGUGAAAUUCGUAGAUAUUCGCAAGAACACCAGUGGCGAAGGCGGCUCACUGGCCCGAUACUGACGCUGAGGCACGAAAGCGUGGGGAGCAAACAGG